rnacentral:lncRNA from 1 species
AAAAUUCAGAUCUGAAGCUGAGAGAAGUUACACCAGUAUCGAUGACACUAAUGUAGAAGAUGAUGAAGUAAGUCCUAUAGAAAAUAGUGCAACUUCUCAUUCCUUUAUAUAAAACAUUUCCUUUUAAUGAAGUCUUUUUAUUCAAUUCGAUCAUCCUUGUAGUCCUUCAUUACAUAUUUUAACAGAAAUUAUAAUGUCUAAGCUGCAGGAUGUUUAAUACAAUGAUCAAUCUUUGUCUAUUUAUACGUUAACUUAUUUGAGCAAAAAGCAUUCAUUCAUGACUAUUGAUUCAAGAAUUCUUGUAUAAUGUUUGAUGUAAAAUAAUCUCGAAUAUAAAUUUUUUUACCAGGGACAGCCAGAACUCACUGUUCUUGUUGAUGGUUCAUCUGCACAAGACAAUAGCCUCGGUAGCAAUAAGGACCGGCUUGAUUCAGAAGUUACCUCACAAACCUCGCGGGGUGAUAGUCAUCAUGGCAUUGAGCUCCUGACUCAAUUUAAAAUUAGUGAGAUUUCUGUCACCACACAUAUCGCAUCCGGGAAUGCCUCAACUGUUCCUUCAGUGCUGCCAAAGAGCCAACAGGACAAACUACAACGUAGCCAAACAAAGAAAAUAACUCAAAUCAUGAAGGAAAGGGAUUUAAAGACAUUCAAUAGUUUUGGAGGCAUCGACGGAGUUGCAGAUGCAUUGAGUACUGACCUGGUCAAGGGACUUCAUGACAAGGAUGAUAUUUGUCGUAGAAAAAUGGAAAUAGACUCUCAAAAGCAGUUCCCUGAAAGCUGUUUCUUUCCCUUACUGAUAGAUACAUGCAAAAGUUCUAC